AUGAGACAUGCAUCUGAUAUUUCUAAAUCACAACAGGAGACAAAGAAGCGAAAGAAAGGCAGAAGCACUCAAUCUGUUGUUAUCAAGUACAUAAACAACCACAAGUACUUCCUCUCGACAAAGGAGAUCAACUGUGGCAAGACGGCUGGGAAAAAUAUUCUGGUAAGUAUAAUAACAUUUGAAUUUACUGUUAUAAGUGAUAAUGUAUGUAUUUAUUUUAUGUAA